AUGAAGCUCGUGGAUCUCCUGGGAGAAGGCCCUGUGGCUGAAGAUUUGUCACCUGAUGAUGUUGUUUGGGCAUCAGAAGACUUAGAGGAGCAGCCAGGGUUGACCUCACGUCUCUCGGUGAAGCAUGUUGUUGAGGUUGUCCAGAAAUUUGAUGAUUACAAGAGGUGGCUUGUGGUAGAGAUCGGUUUCAAGGGAAUGCUAAAACUACCAUUGCUGAAAAAGAUAGAUCCGAGGAUGAGCGCGUGGGUUAUGAGGAAGGUGAAGGUGAAAUCGCGCACAAUUUGUGUAGAUGAAGAUCGUGUGAUUUUGUUUACGCCAGAGGAUUUUCAUAAAAAUUUUGGGGUCCCUUGUGGCAACCGGGCUGUUCGUGGGAGGGACGGUGAAAUCAGUAGCGCAGCAAUAGAAUUUAUAAAGCAGACAAUUGGGAUGGAUGGAUCACCUGCUCAAAAUCUUACAAUUGCAGAAGAUUUUCUAAACAGGGAUAUUUCAGAACAAUCUAGCAAGAUUGAGAAGGAUUGUUUUUAGAUUGCAUUUGUUGUUUUUGUCAUGGGAUACCUGUUGUGUCCAAGUACGAAGCAUGAGUACAAGGUGAUUGAUUUUUGGGGUGCUGUGUCUAAUCCAGAGUUGAUAUCACAAUUCAAUUGGUGCGAAUAUGUUGUUGAUUAUCUUAUGGCAGCUGUGAGGAAGUUGCAGUCCGAGUAUGAGAACAAGGCGCAGAUAGUUCAUCUGUUUGGUUGCCAUCUGUUCUUUCAGGUAUAG
rnacentral:rRNA from 1 species